AAAAGCUGAAAGGAAUGAUGGGUGGACGAUGGAUAACUAAUCUUAUUUUAUAAAAUUUGAAAUUUUAUAUUUCGAAUGAUCAUAAAUUAGGAUUAGUCUACCCAUUUUUCUAUCCACUUUCUUGAGCGCUUCAUACGAGAAAGCUUAUUUCUGUACGGAUAAAAUGCGACUAAUCCUUCCAAAUUCAUUGGGAGGAUUUUUU
rnacentral:sRNA from 1 species